GGCGGACGGGUGAGUAAUGUAUAGUUAAUCUGCCCUUUAGAGGGGGAUAACAGUUGGAGACGACUGCUAAUACCCCAUACUCCUUUUAUCUUAAUGGUAAUUGGGAAACGUUUUUUCGCUAAAGGAUGAGACUAUAUGGUAUCAGGUAGUUGGUGGGGUAAGAGCCUACCAAGCCAAUGACGCCUAGCUGGUCUGAGAGGAUGAUCAGCCACACUGGAACUGAGACACGGUCCAG
rnacentral:rRNA from 1 species